UAAAUAAUUUCUCCGUCCAACAAAGGAUGUCUCAAUUUUGACUAAAUUUGAAUGCAUCUAUACACUAAGUCAUGUCUAGAUACAUUCAAAUUUUAACAAAUUUGAGGCAUCAUUUAUUGGACGGAUGGAUUACGAA
rfam:Brachypodium distachyon strain Bd21 chromosome 1, whole genome shotgun sequence.